CUACUUUACAUUGCUGUCAGACCUUUCCGACAGUUAACUGAAGCCAUUAUGUAGCUUUCUUCAAGGCCACCAGUCUCCGUUGACCUAAACAGUACUUUUACUCCAGCAGGACACAGGAGCCUCGAUCUGUUGGUUUGUUUGUGUUACUGAGUGACUUGGACAAAUGUAUCUCCCCCUGACUUCAGCACGUAAAACACUCCUGUUCCUCUUUCUAUGAAAUGACAGUGCACCAAUGCUUAUCUCAUUUAUACCAAAGAGAUUUCAGACAGAGACAGAGCAUCACUGUUCAUGCCAAGGGUUGAACCAGUGAGUGUUCAGAAUAACGCUAUUAAUUAUUCACUCACUGUCACAUUGGGACCCAGGAUGCCUUUCUCCACUCACUGUGGCCUGACACUUCUGUGUUUAUCCAUGCUGCCUCUCCUCCAUGCGCAAGAGUUUUCCCUUCAAACCAAGGGCUUUCCUGGACCUUCUCCCACCUGCUGUAUGGAAGCCUCAAAAAGCACCUUUAACGAACCUGUCAAAGCCUGCUUUGUACAAAAGAAGAAUACAUUUCAGGGUUGUGUACCUACUUAUGUCUUUCACACAAUGCGUAACAAUAAAUGGUGUGUGGACCCAGGAGCCUGGUGGAUCCCCCAAAGACUCAAGAAAUUAGAACAAAGAGGAAUACAUUGCCAUGUCCUCUGACGAGUGUUCAAGACAAUACACCACGACCAUCUACGAAACAAUCCUGACAUUCUCUCCUUCUUUUUUUCUGAUAAUGUAGAGCAAAUUAUCAACUUCCUCUUCUCAUAAGUAGAUCUACAUAUGACAAAAAUAUUGUUUCAUAUGGAUUUUUAUUGUCUUCUAAACUAAUAAAGAG